UACAGAGGGGGCAAGCGUUGUUCGGAAUUACUGGGCGUAAAGGGCGCGUAGGCGGCCUGUUAAGUCGGACGUGAAAUCCCUCGGCUCAACCGGGGAACUGCGUCCGAUACUGGCGGGCUUGAAUUCGGGAGAGGGAUGUGGAAUUCCAGGUGUAGCGGUGAAAUGCGUAGAUAUCAGGAGGAACACCGGUAGCGAAGGCGGCCCUCUGGACCAGUACUGACGCUGAGGCACGAAAGCGUGGGGAGCAAACAGG
rnacentral:rRNA from 1 species